UACGAAGGGUGCAAGCGUUACUCGGAAUUACUGGGCGUAAAGCGUGCGCAGGCGGUUUUUUAAGUCUGACGUGAAAUCCCCGGGCUCAACCUGGGAAUUGCGUUGGAGACUGCAAGGCUGGAGUCUGGCAGAGGGGGGUAGAAUUCCACGUGUAGCAGUGAAAUGCGUAGAGAUGUGGAGGAACACCGAUGGCGAAGGCAGCCCCCUGGGUCAAGACUGACGCUCAUGCACGAAAGCGUGGGGAGCAAACAGG
rnacentral:rRNA from 1 species